rnacentral:rRNA from 1 species
GGCGUGGAUAACGCAUGCAAGUCGAGCGCUGAUUACAGGGUAGCAAUAUUCUGUAGUUGGAGCGGCGCAAGGGUGAGUAACACGUGGGUAAUCUACCAUGAGGUUCGGGAUAACUCGCUGAAAGGCGAGCUAAUACCGAAUGUGAAAAUUAGGAGGCAUCUUCCGAUUUUCAAAGAUGGGGACCGUAAGGCCUGGCGCUUCAUGAUGAGCCCGCGGCCUAUCAGAUAGUUGGUGAGGUAACGGCUCACCAAGGCUAAGACGGGUAGCUGGUGUGAGAGGACGACCAGCCACACUGGAAGUGAGACACGGUCCAGACACCUACGGGUGGCAGCAGUCGAGAAUUUUUCACAAUGGGGGAAACCCUGAUGGAGCGACGCCGCGUGGGGGAUGAAUGGCUUCGGCCUGUAAACGCCUGUCAUUUGCGAACAAAUUGGUUCAUUUAAUACCU